rnacentral:rRNA from 1 species
CCUACGGGAGGCAGCAGUGGGGAAUAUUGGGCAAUGGGCGCAAGCCUGACCCAGCAACGCCGCGUGAAGGAAGAAGGCUCUCGGGUUGUAAACUUCUUUUCUGAGGGACGAAGAAAGUGACGGUACCUCAGGAAUAAGCCACGGCUAACUACGAGCCAGCAGCCGCGGCAAUACGUAGGUGGCAAGCGUUAUCCGGAUUUAUUGGGUGUAAAGGGCGUGUAGGCGGGAAAGGAAGUCAGAUGUGAAAACUCAGGGCUCAACCCAGAGCCGGCAUUUGAAACUGUUUUUCUUGAGUGCUGGAGAGGUAAGCGGAAUUUGGUGUGUAGCGGUGAAAUGCGUAGAUAUACGGAGGAACACCGAUGGCGAAGGCGGAUUGCUGGACAGUAACUGACGCUGAGGCGCGAAAGCGUGGGGAGCAAACAGGAUUAGAUACCCUUGUAGUC